GGUCCAAAGGCACACCUACUGCCCACCGAGGUGUGAAGGACCCCGCUCAGUAACCUCCAGGUCACGGAGAGGUUUCUGCAAGGACCUAUUUACAUCCAGUUUUCACCUGGAACAAAAGACCUUGGAAAAUGUCGAAGAGCAGGCCUGCUGUGUGGAGGCUGGACACAGCACAGGACUCUGCAGAUGGAAACAAGGGCAGAGGUCUGGCUUACCAAAUGCAGGAUGUUGAAGAAGAGAUAAUCAAAAUGGAUUCCAAAUGAACAAGCUGGUUAAAAACCCAAGGUAUUGUUUAAGAUGUGUAUGUGCUUUGAGAUUAAAACCCAGCAUUAUUCUAAGCUCUUCUAAAACAAGACAGUAAUUCAAGCAGCAAACAGGGAAAACCGCUGCAUAUUGCUUGGCUCGAGGCUGAAACCAAGAACAGGCACCGAGGCUCGUAAACCUUUCUUACAACUUGGCCAGGAUUCACAAACCCUGAAAAAUACGGCCCAUGUGACAGUCCGGGGGAAAACGGACAGCCGGGGGAGCCUCCCGGUGCCAAGGGCUCCCUGCUGCCGGGACUGGGCUCCGCGCGGUGCGAGCCCCUCUUCUGGCAGGACGUCGUAACAGCAGCCCGUAAAGCUGCGGGAAGCCAAACUCCGCUUUUUCUUUUACUUCCACAUAAUUUUAUUUCUCGGGAACCUGUCAGUUGCUCGACACUGAAAUUUUGCGCAGGAGAAAGACAAGUUUUGCUUCAUCGUCUCACACACAGAUUUCGAGGAAGAACUUGGGAACUGUGAAAACCUUUUGUUCUGGCCUUUUCCAAGUUGAAAAGUUCAGUCAAUGCAUUUCACAAUGAUUCCUGGUUCGGGGAAUUCCUGACUAAAAGCCCAUUUGCAGCUGAAAUCCAAGCACAGGCCCCCUGCCUGUGCUGCGGGGUGGUGGGGAGCCAGCCCCAGACCGGACAUCUCCCCUCCGCCUCCCUCCGAAGCGGUUUUGGAGGCAGCCUGCACCUCUUCUGCACCGCUGGGGCCUGGGGCUGUAGCUGGGGAAUCAGCAUGUCAGGGAAGAGAUGUCUGGGAGCUUUACUGGGAUGUGGCUGUGUCCUGAGGGGAAAAUACCAAGCCAUGAGUGUCUGUGCCGGGUAGGGAGGUGCUGUGGCAAGCAGUGGGUUUCAUGGCUGGCCUGUGCAGUUUGGGGCUGGGACACAACAGUGGUGUCACGCCGCUGUGCAGAUCCACUCCGGUCUGCCUGGGAAGGCACUGGGGCAGCGCUGGCACCCCAGGGACCGCAGGGACAGCACCACCCCGGGCAGCGCUCAGCUCCCGCUCACCUGCCAAUUAACGCUGUAUAAAGUUCCUUUCGUGUUUCCAAGUGUAACGAGCUUCAAUUUCGGCACACUGAAUUUCCUCAGUCAGUGGUGGUGCUGCAAAGCAGCCUGUUCAUGGUUCUGAGGAACCUGCCAGCAUGGAAGCAGACUGGCUACCUGCGGCAGGGCACGCAGCACCUCUUGCCUUCCCAUCCCUGUAGUGUGACGCUUCCCAGCGAGCUGCCCACCUCCCCCGGAUUUCCCUGCGUUCCCCACAGGCAUGCUGUGCCGGGUGGGUCCUGACAGCAGAUUCGCCUGAAUGCAUUCAGCAAACGCGGAGGUAAAGAGAGACUGGGCUUAGAAGUCCUGCCCUCCUCCCGCCCCAUCUCUGGGGAGGAGAUGCACGAAACCAGGAAGCUGACACCAGGAAGCCAUAGGGUUACGAAGACAGAGCAUCACUGGUGAUCCUAACUGCGGGGUGGAUGGGGACGGAAGAGCCCUCAGCCCCAUUACCAUGCAAGUGAGCAGGGCACAUCUUCCGCUAUACGAAGCAAUGUGGGGUGAUGGAGAGUGCUUCACCCACCCUGGGUCUCUGACUUCGUGUUGGAGUGGACAGACACCAGGUGGCAAAGGCAUGGCCUAGCUCAAGUGAUGGUUUAUUACGUUCAGGCAACAUUUUGAAAGGCAGUUUUAACAUUUGGUGAGUUUCCAAGUAGAAAAUGCAGACUGUGUUUCAUUUUGUCCUUACAGGAGAGUCUCAUAGGGCUCCUACCCUCAAGGCUGUAGAAUUGUUAUACUUGAGUAUAACAGGAAAUACUGGAUAUAUCAAAAAAGAUAGAGGGCAGGCAUACAGCUGUCAAACAUAAAGUACCUGGCAACAACCAAAACAGCGCUCUCUGGUCUGCUCGCUGGUGUCAUUUCCCGUGUUAGGCUUACAACAGCCAGAGGCUGCCAGCAGCAACGCUGUCUUUUGUUGAAACUGGUUGGCUCUUCUUACACUUGAUCAAACAGCAUAUGCAAUCUGUUGAAUUAAAAAAAUCAUGGAUAAACUUCCAAGACUGCUUGGAAUGUGAAUGAUUCUGCCACAGAGAUCUAUGGAAGAACGGAUCAGUGGAUAGCUCAGUAUCUGUUGCUUUGAUUUAUAGGAAGAUGGAGACCUGCAUGCUGAUGUCAAAACAAAGCCCCCGGCUGUCGUUCUCUGACAGUACUAACUUGUGGCUUCCCUAUAAGAAACAGGACUGACUAUUCAGAGCCUUAUGUCUUUGGUGAGUAACAUGCCAGAAAGACUAAUUUCAGUUGAGAUGAUAUGUAUUGCAAUUUUCAGUAUGCAAAACCAAUGAAUUUUUACGUUGGAAGGAGAAAAUAGGUGCAGAGGACAUUGGAAAGGAGCAGCUCAGCAGCAAAAGGCACAACGUGUGCUACCAGAGCUGUGACACUGUGCUGUGUGACUGCAAACAUACGAUUUACAGCGCUACAUUUU